rnacentral:misc_RNA from 1 species
UCCCGGUUUCCCGGGCAGUCCCAUCAAAGUGCUUAAUCCGAAGAUUAUUAGCAACUGAUAGCAGGGGUUGCGCUCGUUAGAGGACUUAACCCAACAUCUCACGACACGAGCUGACGACGGCCAUGCAGCACCUGUGUACUGGUUCUCUUUCGAGCACCCCCUGAUCUCUCAAGGGUUCCAGCCAUGUCAAGGGUAGGUAAGGUUUUUCGCGUUACAUCGAAUUAAUCCACAUCAUCCACCGCUUGUGCGGGUCCCCGUCAAUUCCUUUGAGUUUUAAUCUUGCGACCGUACUCCCCAGGCGGUCUACUUCACGCGCUAGCUGCGUUACCAAGUUAAUUAAAACCCGACAACUAGUAGACAUCGUUUAGGGCGUGGACUAC